GAUGAACGCUGGCGGCGUGCCUAAUACAUGCAAGUCGAGCGAACAGAUGAGGAGCUUGCUCCUCUGACGUUAGCGGCGGACGGGUGAGUAACACGUGGAUAACCUACCUAUAAGACUGGGAUAACUUCGGGAAACCGGAGCUAAUACCGGAUAAUAUAUUGAACCGCAUGGUUCAAUAGUGAAAGACGGUUUUGCUGUCACUUAUAGAUGGAUCCGCGCCGCAUUAGCUAGUUGGUAAGGUAACGGCUUACCAAGGCAACGAUGCGUAGCCGACCGGAGAGGGUGAUCGGCCACACUGGAACGGAGACACGGUCCAGACUCCUACGGGAGGCAGCAGUAGGGAAUCUUCCGCAAUGGGCGAAAGCCUGACGGAGCAACGCCGCGUGAGUGAUGAAGGUCUUCGGAUCGUAAAACUCUGUUAUUAGGGAAGAACAAAUGUGUAAGUAACUAUGCACGUCUUGACGGUACCUAAUCAGAAAGCCACGGCUAACUACGUG
rnacentral:rRNA from 1 species